rnacentral:rRNA from 1 species
ACAUGCAAGUCGUGCGAGAAAGUAUCUUCGGAUAUGAGUAGAGCGGCGGACGGGUGAGUAACGCGUAGGAAUCUACCUAGUAGAAGGGGAUAGCCCGGGGAAACCCGGAUUAAUACCGUAUACCUCCUUCGGGAGAAAGAAGGCCUCUCUUUGAAGCUUUCGCUAUUAGAUGAGCCUGCGUAAGAUUAGCUUGUUGGUGAGGUAAAGGCUCACCAAGGCGACGAUCUUUAGCUGGUCUGAGAGGACGAUCAGCCACAUUGGGACUGAGACACGGCCCAGACUCCUACGGGAGGCAGCAGUGGGGAAUAUUGGACAAUGGGCGCAAGCCUGAUCCAGCCAUACCGCGUGUGUGAAGAAGGCCUUCGGGUUGUAAAGCACUUUAAGCAGGGAGAAAAAGUUAUAAGUUAAUACCUUAUAACCGUGAUGUUACCUGCAGAAUAAGCACCGG